rnacentral:sRNA from 1 species
AUAUCUCUCUGUACGGGAAGGAUGAGAAGCUUCGACCAAGGUUCGAUUCGAGCGCAGCGAGAAAGCGUUGCCGCAGGCAACGAC